rnacentral:rRNA from 1 species
CCUACGGGUGACUGCAGUGGGGAAUAUUGCGCAAUGGGCGAAAGCCUGACGCAGCGACGCCGCGUGAGGGAUGAAGGUCUUCGGAUCGUAAACCUCUGUCCGCAGGGAAGAACGGUCACUGUGCUAAUCAGCAGUGAAUUGACGGUACCUGCAACGGAAGCACCGGCUAACUCCGUACCAGCAGCCGCGGUAAUACGGAGGGUGCGAGCGUUAAUCGGAAUUACUGGUCGUAAAGCGCUCGUAGGCGGUCAGUCAAGUCAAGGGUGAAAUCCCCGCGCUCAACGUGGGAACUGUCUUUGAACAGGGCCAAAUGGAGUGUGUGAGAGGAUAGUGGAAGUCCAGGUGUAGGAGGGAAAUCCGUAGAUAUCUGGAGGAACAGCAGUGGCGAAGGCGACUAUCUGGCACAUAACUGACGCUGAGGAGCGAAAGCGUGGGUAGCAAACAGGAUUAGAUACCCGAGUAGUC